AGAUAUGACUUAGUGGCGGACGGGUGAGUAACACGUGAGCAACCUGCCUUUCAGAGGGGGAUAACGGCUGGAAACGACUGCUAAUACCGCAUAACAUAUAGAUGUCGCAUGGCAUUUAUAUCAAAGAUUUAUCGCUGAAAGAUGGCCUCGCGUCUGAUUAGCUAGUUGGUGAGGUAACGGCCCACCAAGGCGACGAUCAGUAGCCGGACUGAGAGGUUGAACGGCCACAUUGGGACUGAGAUACGGCCCAGACUCC
rnacentral:rRNA from 1 species